GCACGAGAGCACAGGAGGAGACUUCAGAGGUUUGACGAGUCGGUGCAGGAUGGAGUGAACUUCAUUAAGACUUUGAACACAACACGUUUAGAUUUAUUUCUCUUAGUAUAGUAGCCUACUGGAAGCUUUCUUGUUUCACCUGCGUAUUUUUUUUCGUUAAUUGAUUUUUGUGGGUUUUUUUUAUGUGGGUGUCUGUGUGACAGCGAAAAAACAGGUUAGAGACUCUGAUAUGGCUGAGGUAGCGCCAACACAGUCGCAGCCGGUCGAGAUAGACCCGGACUUUGAGCCUCUGUCCCGCCCUCGCUCUUGCACCUGGCCGCUGCCCCGUCCGGAGGUCACUGACCCGGCCAGCUCCAACACGUCGUCCCCAGCCCCGUCGGUGCAGCAGGAGCCGGGAGGAAACCCCGAGUUCAUCAGUAACCUCGGGUUGUUAGAGGAGGACUAUGAGGGCUAUGCGGAGGAGAAACCGCCUGUGCCCUGCAGUGACUUUCUGUGUCGGGAGGGAAACUGUUUGCAUCUUCAUCACCACCUGCAACAGCAGCAGCAGCAGCAGCACCUGCCGGGUCCACAGCUGCCGCCUCAGCAACAGGUGCCUCAUCCAGGUGUCGCACCUUUGGGUGGCCCCGGCCAGAGGAAGAGCAGCUCGUCCCGUCGUAACGCCUGGGGCAACAUGUCGUACGCUGACCUCAUCACCAAGGCGAUAGACAGCUCACCUGAGAAGAGGCUGACGCUGUCUCAGAUUUACGACUGGAUGGUGAAGAGUGUGCCUUACUUCAAGGAUAAAGGGGACAGCAACAGCUCCGCGGGCUGGAAGAACUCCAUAAGACACAACCUGUCGCUGCACAGUCGCUUUGUGCGCAUACAGAACGAGGGAACAGGAAAAAGCUCCUGGUGGAUGCUGAACCCGGAGGGGGGAAAGAGUGGAAAGUCACCUCGACGCAGAGCUGCCUCCAUGGACAACAACAGUAAACUGGCCAAGAGCAGAGGGAGGGCCUCAAAGAAAAAGAUGGCUCUACAGGAAGGGGUUGAGGGAGCUGGCAGUCCUGGCUCCCAGUACUCUAACUGGAUGGGAAGCCCAAACUCCCACAGCAACGAGGACUUUGAAGCCUGGAGCUCCUUUAGGACACGCACCAGCUCUGACGCCAGCACCCUGAGUGGUCGCCAUUCACCUUUCCCUUCUGAACAGGAUGACCUAGUGGAGUCCGAUGGCCACAUGAUGUAUCCUAAAGCUGCAGGGACCAAGAUAACCUCCCCCCUGCCGAGCUUGUCCGAGAUGGAUGGACCUGUGGGCCGACAUCGCCAAGAGGGGGUCAUGGAUAGUCUGCUGGAUAACCUUAACCUGGUGUUUCCUAAAUCCUCCCAGCUGGGUCCUGACUCCUCUCAUUCCCCAAAUGCUGCCAUGCUUCAGAGUAGCCCCUACAGCUCCACCUGUUUGAUCGCACACCCACAGCAGGACUACCACAAGCGUGUGUACAGCCAGGUGAGGAUGAACUCCCUGUCCCCUGCUCCAAUGCAGAUACUUCCAGAGACUAAGCCAGGCUUUGGGGCUUAUGAGAACCCGUAUAUCAGCCCUGCUGGCCUACUGAAAGAGCUGUUGACCUUAGAUGCAGAAUCCAGUAGGGACAUGAUGCCCUCUAGUGAUACACAGCUGGCUCAGGUUGGGAGGGCAGGCGGGCUAAUGCCCACUUACAGCAGCCAGAGCCACAUGGGGGGUCGUAAUGGGGUUAAAAUGUUGAAUUCUUUACAGAGUCACCCAGUUCCUCAUGUGAGUCCACAAGUUAUACAUAGCCGGGGUCCUUCAACCUCACGAGACUUGAAUAGCUGUAACAUGAUCCCCCUGACUAGUCGCAAUGGACUGUCAGGGGCUCCUCCUCGAAUGAACAGCCUUAGGACAUGUAUGCAACUACCCCGUGGACACCCAGCUUACCCUUCUGAUGUUUCAGCGAGCAACAAUAGCUUCAGGGGUUUAAAUCCAGUUCACCAACACAUUCAUCAUGAGCGGCUACCCAGCGACCUGGACAACAUGUCCAUCGAGAGGUUUGAGUGCGACAUGGAGACCGUCCUACAUGACACCCUCAUGGAUGGCGGGGCACUUGACUUUAACUUUGACCCCGCGGCUGGGCCUUAUGGGUUUCCUCAGAGGGUGAAGACAACCACACAUAACUGGGUGUCAGGUUAGAGCACAUGGUGAAUGACAAACAGUUGAAUGUGACAAUUGGGCUGACGAUAUUAUAAAACUAUAGCCCCUUUCACACAUGCACUCCAAACAAUUUCAAGACAUUUUAAGGACAGCCUGCCCCUCACAUUUUCCAGUGUUUCCCUUUUAACACAUGUCCCUCACAAUGGGAGAUUUUCGCUGUCAGAAGAGUGGGGGGAGUGGCUUAGGAGAAAGGACAUGAGGUAGAAUGGAUGCUGCACGAGUCCCAAAGAAAUGAUAACAAUAUAUUUAAGAUGGCGGACGUAGCAACAGGGUCUCACAUUAUAUGACAUUUUUUGCCUUAAUAUAAAUGCUGUAUGUUUUCAGAAAAAUUACAAUUACUGAAAACAGUGGAAACAAACAUGCUGGUGAGAAGAAAAGAGUAUGAAGUGCAUCAAGAUCGUAUUGGUUUGAGGAUGUGGGUAAUGGAAAACAUGCUGGCAAGCAGAAUAGAGAACAAAGAAGCUUCAUCACACACAAGAAGACUAUUUUUCAUUGGUCGCAUGAUUUAAACAUUUACUCCAUCAUCCCCAAUAAUCUCACCCGCCCACUUCCUAGCAGUGAAUUUUCCUGACUAUGACCUACAGUUUACUCAUCGGCUCACCAUAAUCUUUUGCAGACUUUUACUUGUCGUCUGUCAGGAAAAGUUCUGGAUAAAGUGUAGCUAAUAAAUUCUGCCAAUGCAUUCACACAUGCAGCUCAACUUGACAAUUUCGGGAUUCUUCAAAAGUGCAGUGCAUGUGUUGAAGGGCCUUAAAAAUUCAAAAAAACUUUAUCAGGAUACAAAAUACAUUUUAAUUCAGUUAUAGUGACUGAAAUCAGACAACGGUCCAAACUGUUUUCUCUUGUGCACACAAAAUGCUUGAAUCAUAUCUACAUAGCCCUGCAGAGAGAAUCAAUGAGAGAUAACGCUGCAAUAGAUAACUGUUAUUGUUUAAACUACCUGUAAAAAAACAGUCAUUAAAAUUUUACAGUGUAGUAUUUAAAAAUAUGACAGAACACCACAUCAGUGUGCCUUCAAACUUCUCUGUUGAUGAUGUGAAGAGAACUUGAAAAUAUUCUUCAUUUUAUAACAGAGUGAAAGGAGCAAUGGUUUGGAGUAAUUAAAGGUGUAUUUGGUAAUAUUAGUUACAAUAAUCUAGGUUUGAACAAACCCAUGUGGUAACCAUGCUAGCUCAGUAGGUUCAACUAGGUAAAGCGGGGUAUCAUCUGCAUAGUGAAGCAUCUUAACAUUUAUACUGUAGUAAAUACAAAUUCCACGGGGAUUUGGACAAUGCCAACAAGAUAUGUGUCCAGGAAUAUACCUCUGGAAGGCACACAUAGUAGGUUAUGAAAAGAUCAUCAUUAAAUCCUUAAAGAAGCUUAAUUAAGCACUUAAAUCAAAUUGUAGCAGUAUCUCUAUAAGGUCUGGUUUAAGAGACUCUGAGAAGAACUUCAUCUCUAACUGGAAUGAGUUCAUCAUUUAUAAACUGAAUGAAGGUAUUUAUUUCUAGGAGUGGCUGUUAGAUUUGUGCUUUUAGUUUGCUUAUGAAUAUUUUUAUACUGUAUUGUAAAUAAGUUCAAACACAGUUGAGAUGUGCCGUCUAAAAGUUCACAAUCUCAAUAUUUAUGUUAGCUAAUCGUGGAAGUCGUCCGCUUUGUGAGUGUCCGUGUCGCAUAUCGUUGCAUAUCAACAGUGAUGCUCUUCAGUAUCUGAUUUUUGUCUUCUUUGGACUUAAUGAACCUCUGUACAAUUCUAAAUCUUGAGGUUGUGAAAACCACAAUGGAUAAUCCAAACGAAAACAUUGUAAUCAAAUUCAAAUUAAAGGGAGUUUUUGGAGAUUCUGGCUGGACUCAAGCUGUGCGAAACAAUGGGAGUAGCAGUAAAUGGAGAGGCUGACGAUGAUGUCGUAAACUGACUAGAAAUAGAUGAUGAAAGUUUAGCGAGCACAGCACAUGAUUUAAAAGUAUUUACCUGCUGGCUUAUACAGUUUUUAUGCACCAAAUAAAGUGUGCCAAUUCACCGUGCCUACAUCCUCUUACAGACUUAUGUUGUACAUAUUUAUUUCUUUAGUACAUUUUAUAUAUGAAGGGUUUAUGUGACCUGUUAGGAUAAUACUGCCUGAUUGUGUUAGAAAUGGUUGUUUACAAAUCUCAGUCCAAACUAUAUCGAGAAAUAUAUAAACACUCAUACCUCAAAAAACUUUACCUCUCAAGUUUUGAAGGGAUAUUUUCUGACAAUUUCCUCAAUGAGUAAUUAUUACAUUCUUCCUCAUUUAUGACAUAUAACGUUUUGUACAUAUGUUUGUUUUCUUUUUUUGUAGUCGAGAUGUACUUUUUGGACCUGUUCAGUGUCUCCCUUUGAAUUUCUAAUGUUUAUUUUUAAUGUUGAAGGAUUAUAGCCAUUGGUUCCUACAGUCAAUUGUUUUGUGAAAGUCACAGGAAAAAUGUUAAAUUAAAUGAAUUGGUGUGAUAUAUUAUCAAUAUUGAAGUACUUUUUUUUAUUAUCAUAAUUUGUUCAGAUUAAAUUUAAUUGAACUCAGUUAGUUAAUUAAAUGUCCAAAUUAGUCUUUUAAGAUUGUUGACGUGUAUUGAAAUUUGAAAUGUCUUAUCAGCAUUUUAUAAUGACUCAGAAAGCUACCUGUACAAAAAAGGGCCCACGUCUGUUACAUUUCAUUGUAAAGAGUAAAUAAGUUUUACUUUUAUAUGUCAUUUUUUGACAUUUCACAACUGACCGGUGUUUUUCAGGAAAUAUGCAAUGCUGUUUUUGUCAUUAAUAAACCCAAUGCAUAUGUUUUUAAAGAUUGCAGUUUUUUAUGCAAUAAAAUGUAAUGCAUAAAUCUA